CCCCACUGUUGCUCUCCUGGGAGGACUUCAGCAGCCCUGUCAAUUCCUCUUCACCUGCCACCCUUGUCGAAAGCCCUCCAGUGACCCCCUCCUCAAUUCCCCACGUGCGGGAAAGUCUGCAUCUCCAGCCUGCUUGGCUCAGCAGGGCCAGGGGACUUGCUUUGACCAAUGGGUGUGAGCAGAAGUUACAAAUGUCACUUCAAAAGCAUUUAAUUGCUGGCUUGAGAACCCCCUCUUUCUCUCUCUUCGUCUUUGGCAUUGACUGAGAAGACUUCCUGUUCCAGAUGAUGAUGUAGAAGAUGGUGGAAUGUCCUUCCACCGGGAUUGUGGAGCUGUUGCAUAGAGAACAGUUGCCCUGUUCUCUGGCCUAGACCCAGAACACACUCUGCAUGGUGAAAAUGCAAGCUUUCUGUGAGAGCCACUGAGAUUUGGGAGUAUCUGUUACUGCAGCAUAACCUAACUUACUGCAGUUAAUAGUCACUAUAAUGUGGGCAUGUAAGUUAAGGAAGAGUCUCUCAAAAUGACUCAAAUUAGUUUGCUUCCAGAUUACCCAUGGCGAUGAGGGACACAGCCUACUUACCUGCUAAAAAACCCUUUGCCCUGCCUUUCCUGGCCUUGUUUUCUGGCCUGGUCUUCUCCUCCAAGCCUGGGGCAGACUUCUGCUGAGUCCUUUCUGAUUCCUGCUCACAGAAGGGAGACCUUCUGGGGUCUGGGGAGUUUUCAUGUCCUACCCAUGACCUCCUACCCACCCCAUGUACUCCUGCACCUGCUCAGGCCUCAGUACCCCUCACCUGGACCACAAAACUCCUCUCUGGCCUCCUUGUUCCAAGUCCUCCCCUUCCUGUCCAUUCUCCACACUGCCCUUUGGUGGUUUGUCCAAAACACUACAGUAAUUAGGUCACUCACUGCCUAGAACCCUCCAUGGCUCCCUUUUGCCCUCAGGAUAAAGACCAAGUUCCAUAACUGAGCUCUUCUGGAUCUCAUGCCUUCAAAACUUAGUUGAAAUGUUCCCUCUUCCCUGACUGUUUGCACUCUCACACACAGUUUUGUAAUUUCAUUGUUUACACAUCAAUAUCCCCCACUAGACUGUAGGCAACUUCAAGGGCAACAUGAGUGUUGAGUCCAGAAUUUGAUCAUAGUAGGCAAUGAAGGAAUGUUUG
rnacentral:lncRNA from 10 species